AAAACACCGCAAGCAGAUGGAGGUUCAGAAGUUGACGACUUUGUUUUGCUUUAUAACUCAUCAAGCUUGAUACGAAUGACUGGAUAUUUAAUAUCAAGAAUAUAUUUUAUAUAUUUUGGAUAUCUUAAGUAUUUACCUGCUCGAAUGAUUGUUCAUCAUCAUUUUCUUCACUGUUUCGUUGGUGCAAAAACGCUUCGAGAACAAAAUUAACUUCAGCGAGAGAUUAAUUGAAGACAAAUCAAUUUAUUGACUCCCAUCAUGAUGAAUUCUUUGUGCCGGUUCUACAUGCUGGAAGAGCUGGAAUACGACCGCCGAGAAAUUGAAAGAAUUGUCUGCUGCUCUGGAUAUUUCUCGGUGUGGUGAGUGACUUUCUGCAUGAUAUAUUUUUUAGUUAAUCAUAAGUUUUAUUUUAUUUAUCUUUUUACGAAUAUUUUCUCUUAUU